rnacentral:ncRNA from 1 species
UGGUCCUAGCCUUGAAAUCAAUUUUUACUUAAUAUACACAUGCAAGUCUCCGCACCCCUGUGAAAACGCCCUUUAGUCCCCAUUAGGGAAGAGGAGCUGGUAUCAGGCACGAAAAAUCUGCCCAAAACACCUAGCUACGCCACACCCACAAGGGAACUCAGCAGUGAUUGACCUUGAACAUAAGCGACAGCUUGACUCAGUUAAAGUAAGAAGAGCCGGCCAAUCUGGUGCCAGCCGCCGCGGUUACACCAUGUGGCUCAAAUUGAUCACUCCCGGCGUAAAGCGUGAUUAAAGUCUUCAAAAUCUUUGGGACUAAAUUGAAACUAAGCCGUGACACGCUUGAGAUUGAGAAACCCAAAACGAAAGUUACCCCAAUUAAACCAACUUGAACUCACGACAACUGGGGCACAAACUGGGAUUAGAUACCCCACUAUGCCUAGUCGUAAACUUUAAAUUACAACCCCCAUCGCCUGAGAACUACGAGCUAAGCUUAAAACUCAAAGGACUUGACGGUACCCCAUAUCCCCCUAGAGGAGCCUGUCCUAUAAUUGAUAAUCCCCGUUUUACCUUACCAUUUUUAGCUACUCAGCCUGUAUACCUCCGUCGUCAGCUUACCACGUGAGCGAAACUUAGUGAGCUUAAUGCAUAUACACCAAUACGUCAGGUCAAGGUGCAGCAAAUGAAAUGGAAAGAGAUGGGCUACACUCUCUAAUUUAGAGAACACGAAAAACUAUUUAUGAAAUCUAGUUGAAAGGCGGAUUUAGCAGUAAAAAGAAAUCAGAACAUUCUUUUUAACACGGCACUGGGGUGUGUACACACCGCCCGUCACCCUCUUCACAAGUCACAAGUAGUAUUUAACUAACAAACACAUUACAGAAGAGGCAAGUCGUAACAUGGUAAGUAUACCGGAAGGUGUGCUUGGAAA